UAGUGAAAAAGAUUUUGCCAAAUUGUCAUAACUAAAUACGAAGUUUAAUACGUGUCUUCACCCUUUAAUUUAUGAUUGAGGAAAUGUCGUACUCUAGUUAUUUUUCAAUGCUUUACUUUAUAUAACAAUGACUCUACGUCAUAUCUGAUUAUCAGUUUAUGUCAUGUCGUCGAAGAAAAGUUUUGCGAUUUGCGAUUUUGCGAUUGAUAAUAUAAAUGAUAUAAAAUUGCAAAUGGAUCGUCUAACAAGCUGUGAUUUUUCAGUAUACAGUCUGAGUAUAAUUAUUUGAUCUCCAUAUACUUGAAACAUGUCACACAUACGUUGAAGCAUCAAACUAUUUCAGGUUAAACCUACUCCAUCUGUUACAGUUAUCUACAUUAGUGUGCAUGCAGGAACUUUCAGUAAUGUUUUGGCUUUAUUCAACUGCCAUCUUUGAUUUACAAUGUUAUGAAAACUCAUAUGUGGAUAUGCAAUUAACUUUGAUUGAACUGCCAUCUUUGUUUAUUUCCGUCUGGUCGUCUUGCUGUUCGUGAUGGAAAAAGAGCCCUUAUCGAAUACGUAAUACAGCAUGAUUGAAGAUGACUACUGUGACCGGUGAAAAAAAUUAUGGAAAUCAACCUCCUUCCGGAUGUUUUCGUACCAGGUGGAUUCUACGACAGCAUCCAGUAGAUUCCUGUGGCGGAGCAGCUUAAUGUGGUGUUGUUUUUGCGCCACUAUGCAGGAAAAACUACGGCGCAUACCGUAGGUGGUUUUGCGGGGUGGACAAACAAGACCUCAACAAUAACGGUGCGGAUUAGUGCGGAUAAUAUUAAUAAACAAGUGAUUUAAGUUAUACAUAUAUUGAUUCUAAUAAAAAUGAGUAGAACUAAUUUGUUUUUUUUUUUUCAAUUUUUCAUCUCGAAUGUACGUAUUUUUAAUUUUGGCAUAAAUAUAUAAUAUAAUGUCACAA